rnacentral:rRNA from 1 species
AACCAGACUCCUACGGGAGGCAGCAGUGAGGAAUAUUGGUCAAUGGGCGCGAGCCUGAACCAGCCAAGUAGCGUGAAGGAUGACUGCCCUACGGGUUGUAAACUUCUUUUAUAAAGGAAUAAAGUGAGGCACGUGUGCCUUUUUGUAUGUACUUUAUGAAUAGGGAUCGGCUAACUCCGUGCCAGCAGCCGCGGUAAUACGGAGGAUGCGAGCGUUAUCCGGAUUUAUUGGGUUUAAAGGGUGCGUAGGCGGAGUGUCAAGUCAGCGGUAAAAUUUCGGGGCUCAACCCCGUCGUGCCGUUGAAACUGACACCCUUGAGUGAGUGAGAAGUAAGCGGAAUGCGUGGUGUAGCGGUGAAAUGCAUAGAUAUCGCGCAGAACUCCGAUUGCGAAGGCAGCAUGCCGGCUCCACACUGACGCUGAGGCACGAAAGCGUGGGUAUCGAACAGGAUUAGAUACCCGAGUAC